CGCAAGUAGAGUGGCGAACGGGUGAGUAAUACAUCGGAACAUAUCCAGUAGCGGGGGAUAACCUGUCGAAAGAUAGGCUAAUACCGCAUACGAUCUACGGAUGAAAGCGGGGGACCGCAAGGCCUCGCACUAUUGGAGUGGCCGAUGUCGGAUUAGCUAGUUGGUGGGGUAAAGGCUUACCAAGGCUCCGAUCUUUAGCUGGUUUGAGAGGACGACCAGCCACACUGGGACUGAGACACGGCCCAGACUCC
rnacentral:rRNA from 1 species